AUGUUGAUUGCUUGUUGGUGGCCGCCUCUUGCCGCACGAGUGGUUCCACCUGUCCUGCAGGAGGUAGAUGAGCACCAUGUUGGAGAUCUUGGAGGUGAGGAGCACCGUCUAGAACCUGAUUCUCCUGCGGGUCCUCUCCCUGUAUGUGUGGAGGUCGAUGUAGACGGUGGCUACUCCCACCACACACACCACUACUCCCAUCAGCCAGUGCGUCAGAUCGGUGUUGCAUUUGCCCAAGUAGAAGAGGACCCUGAUGGCCUUGGUGCUCUUCACGUUGCUCAAGAACCUGAUCAACAGCACGCCGACCCACAUCAGGAAGCCAACCAACGACCAGAGGAGGAAGGCGUGGAGCUUGAGCUGCAGCGACAGCUUGGGCGUCAGCUGCAAAACCCAAAAUUCAAGUGUUCAAUUCAACCAAGGUGUAAGUUUGCAGUCUGUUACAAAGACAGAGAACAAACUUAA
rnacentral:rRNA from 1 species